UGGUGUGUUGUACCACCCGGCAGUGGGGGAAGAAGAAUUAUGCUUCGACUCCGGAGAAGGAGCCUGAAAAACGGCUACUACAUCUAAGGAUGGCAGCGGGCGCGUAAAUUACCCAAUCCUAAAUCAGGGAGGUAGUGACAAGAUAUAUCAACGUGAUCAAAUAUCACGAUUGAAGUGAGGGUUUUCUAAAAAUAGCUUCUAGUACGAUUGGAGGGCAAGUCUGGUGCCAGCAGCCGCGGUAAUUCCAGCUCCAAUAGCGUAUAUUAAAGUUGUUGCAGUUAAAAAGCUCGUAGUUGGAUUUCAAGAGGUGCAUCUGAGCAAUCAUCAUGCUCUCUACCAUUCUUUGACUGUUACUGUGAAAAAAUUAUAGUGUUUCAAGCAGGCUUUUGCAGGAAUACAUUAUCAUGGAAUAACUAAUGUAUCUACUAUUUGGUUGAUUGUCGGCUACUAUUAAUAGGGACAGUUGGGGGCAUUAGUAUUUAAUUGUCAGAGGUGAAAUUCUUGGAUUUGUUAAAGACUAACGUAUGCGAAAGCAUUUGCCAAGGAUGUUUUCAUUAAUCAAGAACGAAAGAUAGGGGAUCAAAGACGAUC
rnacentral:rRNA from 1 species